rnacentral:sRNA from 1 species
CGGGUGCGGGCGCCGGCGGCCUGACCCUUCCGCAGGCCUCCGAGGAGCUGCUGCGUGAGCACUACGCCGAGCUGCGUGAACGCCCGUUCUACGGCCGCCUGGUCAAGUAUAUGGCCUCCGGGCCGGUAGUGGCCAUGGUGAGUACCCGGGAAGCGGGCGGGCGGCCCCGGGACCCCACCCCUGCGUGAUACCGCGCCCGUCCCCCCGCACAGGUAUGGCAGGGGCUGGACGUGGUGCGCACCUCGCGGGCACUGAUCGGGGCCACGAACCCGGCCGACGCCCCGCCCGGCACCAUCCGCGGGGAUUUCUGCAUCGAGGUUGGCAAGAACCUGAUUCACGGCAGCGACUCGGUGGAGAGUGCCCGCCGCGAGAUCGCGCUCUGGUUCCGCGCAGACGAGCUCCUGUGCUGGGAGGACAGCGCUGGGCACUGGCUGUAUGAGUAGACCCGGCAGGUGCGCGUCGCAGAGGCGCUCACACGCCAGUCUCCUCCAGGGCCCAGGUGGCCGGGGUUCUGGCCCCACCCCACAGCGCUUGGAACAUCCCUUUGGAUGGGAUGCUGAACAUCCACCUGUCAGGACGUUGCAUCCAAGGUGGCGCGGGCCUCUCCAAUCCCUGGCGUACAGGGCUUCCGGCCCGAGGAGCUGCUCCAGGAGCCUGCGCGGCUCGCCUGGAAACGUGUCAGGACACUGUCCUGGUGCCCAGCCCAACGUGGUCCAACGUUUCUUUUUAUAAUAAAGUGAAGUCCUCAUUUUCGUGUCG